GCCAACGUAGCUCAAUGGUAGAGCUCCGGUUUUGUAAACCGGUGGUUGUCGGUUCGAAUCCGACCGUUGGCU
rnacentral:tRNA from 1 species